AAAUGAUGUUUCUGUCUCACAUCAACAUUUGUCUCCCUCUCUCUAAACCAAGGAGCAUGUUUUCGGGAGAGGAUAAAAUAAUAACAUUAAUAAUAAUAAUAAUGAACAGUCAAUGGUCAGUAUAAGCUAGGUGAAUAAUAAUGCAAACAGUUUUGAACUGCCCCACUGAAUCACUCUAGGAGUAGAAAUAGGACAAAACUGGUUGGCAAUAUUUUAUACUUAACCCAAGGCUAUCUUAGCCAGAGAUCCAAGCCUCUCACAGACUGAAUAUGUAAGGUCAAUAAGCCAAAGAUGAUGCAGUUUGAUGUGUGUGGAUUCUUUAAUUGCCUGUAGAGAGUCACUCAAACAUCCUUGGGAUCAUUCAACAUUUACUAAUCACAUUAACAUCAUAUCAGUAAGAUCCAGAAUGGUUUUCUUACAUGUCCUGAGUUUUUUCUUUCUACUUCCCACUACAAUAUUUUUUGUUUAGCUUAGCUUUCCACUUGCCCUAGCUGUAAGAGUAAAUUAAAAAAAAAUCCAAGUCUAAUGCUGAAACCAGAAAUAUACGUAUUUCUGCAUACAACUUCAUACAACUGCAUAUUGCUUUGGAAAUUUUGUCUUAACUUUCAGGGAGAAAUUUUCACAAUUCACACAUUUCUCUUAAUAAAUCAAUAUAAAAAGACAGUCAAAAACACACAUUUAUUUUGGCUUGGAAAUAUUCUCACAUAUUAACAAUAAGAAAGCAAACCACAAAUACCCUCCAUCUCUGAGGACAAAGCCACAGGGAGACCUUAAUGGUGACAGCUCAUAAAUCCUAGCCGAAGAUCACAAAUACAGCUGUAAGAAAGCUCUCCCAAGGAAAAUAUAUGGCAUUAGAAAAAUCACAAGGGAGAUUAGUGAGAAACUAACAGUGUAUCUAUCAUUCAACAACUUUUCAAAGAGUAUUUUUCACAGUUUAUUUACUUUAAACUGUUACACAGUAAUUAAGUAACUCAAGAAUGAAACAGAAGAAAACAGAAACCCAUCUCUUAGAUUCCCCUUAUGCCUCUAUAACAGUGUUUUGGACAUAUGAAAUAAACAUAAAACAGUGUUCAUCUGGAAGAGGGCAGGAAACCAGUGUAGUGACUGACCACUUUAUCCAAAUGACUAUUGAAUAGUUAUAGUGACACUGUUUCUUAUAAAUUUCAUUCGUAGUACAUAAAUGAGGUACAGGGAAGGAUUUUACAAAACCAGAAGAAUCAAUACCUUUUCCCCAAAAUUUACUUUUUGCAAAAUUAAAAAAAAUGAACCUAAAACUAGCAUGUCCAAAAAUAUGUUAGUGGUUAAAAAAUAAAAUUUAGAAAUAAUUUUGUUACAUUCCUUUGCCGUGAAUUAUACAUAAGAAGCAGACGUCCAUGAUUUCAAGUUGAAAGAUGUAAAAUUACAAUUCUCAGAUAGCUGCCAACAGUUAUGGCCCGCAGACAAAGAGAGCUUACCAGUUCACAUUGAUCUCUUCUCAAAGAAAAGGCUUUUACCACCUGUUAAAAACAGUCUGCAUGAGCCCACUCCUAAUGUACAGGGGAUCUACUGUAGCCUGAAAACCAUAAGCACAUUGUAAUUUUAACACUGUGGGUCAUUACUGAAAAGCAGAAGCUCUUGGGGUGCUGUUCUUUGCACUAAUUAUAUAUUUAAGUGUAGGUUAUCUAAACUAUUAAUACUACCAUAGUCCAGGUAAUUCAUGUGUUAUUUAAUCUUUUUAAUGAGGAAAGGGGAAUUUUAAGCAUUCUAACACCUAUAACUUCUUCAUAUAUAUCACUGCUUUCCAGUGUUAGAAGCAUAAACUAUUUGUAUUCCAGUUCAACUACAGAAACUGAGGGUCAACCUCAGUGAAGGGCACUUUUUUAACUGAGGAAUUUUGUACAGGAAAAUGAAAAUGUUUAGAGAACCAUGGGAACUAUUUUUUUUUGGGGCGGGGGGGGGUAGACCAAAAGAGUUAAAAAACAAGAUUUAAAAAAAAACACCAAAAACUCAGUGAAGGCCAGACACACCAGUAGCAAGACAGAACCUGCAACCCAAGACUCCUGAUUCCCAAGCACUUUCUCCAAUAAAGUAUUCAUAUAGCCUCAACAACAUUAACAGCAAACACUCACUUCCUAUUCUUCACUGAAUAUAUUCACAACAAAACUGCCAGCUUGCCCUCUAAUGAGUUGUAGUGCUUAAAAUCUUUGUCAGUUCACAGUCACAGCCAUAAAACAAUGUAAAGAGAGCUUCCUCUUCUUCCAGCUGCCAACACGUAUUACAUCCAGGGGGAAUCAUUUUACAACCCUGAAUGAAGAUCUCCUUAAUUUUGAAAGAGGACCCUAAAGAGCAUUUCUCUUAUCAGUAGACAAAGUUUGUCCUUAGUUUCCCAUACAUAUAAACACAAUACUUCAUAGAGCUUAAACAAAGAAAAAAUGUAGAAGGUGCCUGGUUCAUGUAAAGUGUUCCGAUAUACUUUCUGGUUGUUUCUCAUUCUCUGAAUCACAGCCCAACCAUUUUUAUACUUUUGAGAAAUGUCUGAGUUGGACAUUCAAAUUGAAAUUGUCUGUAGCUGUAAGGACUAAAUCCAUCAAGGCACAAAUAUUUGUCCUUUUGUUUGUUACAUGCACCUAAAACUGUCUGCCCAUAGUAGUACACGGUCAAUAAAUAUUUAAUGAGUCGAUACCAAGAACAAGUGAAUAGUGUAAAAGGAGGAGCAAACCUUAAAAUAUAUUUUUUUUUAAAAAAAGUUGCUAGGAAACUGCCAUUUUAAACAGUUUCUAAGAAAGUUAGAAUUUCCAGAAACAAAAAAGCAAUUACAAAUUAUCUUUUGGAAAACAAAAGAACUUAUCAACUCAGGAACUGCUUUAAAAUCUACUCCUGGGAUCAUUAAACUGUUCAAUCUUCCAUAAGUAUUCCCAUUACAAAUUUGGGGCCUAACUUUCCAUUCAAAUACUCCUUUUGAAUAUUUUAGAAUAUUUUAAGUUCUACUUGCCUUGAAAAUAAUCGUCUACUUCUAAGUAAAUAUAAAUGACUGAAAGUGAUAGAUAUUUUUGGUUUCUGCUUUGUGAAGAUUAGUAUAAAAACCUCUAAUUCUGGACAGAAAUCUGACUUUCUGAUACCAAGAGUUCCAACAGUGGAGCAAAAUCAUUUCAAGAAAAUAUACCUAUUUUUAUGGUCUAUGUCAAAAAAAUGGCAAUUUCUGGAAACAGUGAAGAGUCAUUAAGAUUUUAAUAAAAUUACUUGUUAGGUAAUUCCCAGUAAAUUGCAUCUGAGGCAAAAAUGUGAGAAUGCCAAAGCCCUUAUUUUUAAAAGUAAGAACCCAAGAAAACAUAAACAACACAGCACUGAUUCUAACAGUUACUGGCGCCUUCAGUGGUAUAGAGCAUUAUUCUCAAAAGUUUUUUGAAAAGGCAAACGGGAGGUCAAGAAAAAUAGCAUGAUGGGAAAGACACGAUUUUAAAUAACUUUAAUACAUGCAUCUGAAGGUAUUCAUUCUCUGAGAGAUGCUCAGCAGUGUCUCCUUUUGAAUUACACUUAGUCCAUCAUCUCAGCCUCACUUGGUAUAGCCAGAACAGGCUGGUUGUAGCAAGGUACCAAGCUGUAAAUACAUCAAUCAAUGGCAGAGUUUUCAUGAUAUACAUCUUUCUAUUAUAUUAGCGUCUUUUGUAUAAGGUUUGCACACAAAGGGUGCUCAGUAAAUAUUUGCUGAACCAGGAAAUAUGGGGAGAAUGAAUUAAUUGGCCCAUUUUAAAAUGAAAUAAACUGUUCUCUAUAGUCAAAAUAUUUUAGGCAGAAGGCAUGUGGGACAAUAAUUUUACAGUGUAAAGGCAUGCUAUUCAUGCUCUGAUACCAAAAAGAGUCUGUACUUUCAUGAUAAAAAAGUAGAACCUACAUAAAUACUUGCAUGUAAAAGAGUGCUCAGUAAAUUCCACCCCACUCCCACCCACUUUCCUCUCUCUCUCUGUUCUGCUGCUUGUCUGGUGUCUUUUGGAUCACCUCUGAAAAUGGAAGACUGUAGUUUCUUCCCUGGGCCAGCUUUUCCUGGCAGCACUAGCAAUUUGACUACCCUGAUGGGCUAGGACACUGGGAAAAUAGUCUGUGUGGCAUUCCACAGAGAAGAGCAGACACCAUACUCUUGGAACAAAUUUCUGCCUGGUGUGUAUAUGCUGAUCAGUAUCUCAUUUCUCUGGAGAGAAAAACCAAAGGUCAUAUUGUACUGGAUUGUUUUUUGUAAGCAAUUAACACUGGAAUGCAACAACAGUGUGAUUAGCAAUGCUGUCGAUGGGAAAAAUAAUUAUUCCAACCUUCAAUCAUGUAACUUUAAUUAUUAAGCACAUUCUCCUAUGUGCUACAAACACUAUGUUGGAGAAAAUGGAUAUGAUACUUUCCUUCAGGAGGACCUGGAGUCCAGCAGAAGGGGCAGACAUUAAAAGAUACCAGAAAGAAAAAACCUAAAAUUAUAUAUUGUGUUAAGU